rnacentral:misc_RNA from 1 species
CACGUGUAUUGCUUUGCCUAGCAGAGAAAGGCAAGAACUUGUGCCGGUUGACAUGGCUGCUGCAGCUCCUAAGCAACAGCGUUAUCUGUCUCUUAACGUCAGGUCAACGAUACUGUUUUUAACCUUCUUUUUUUAAUUUUUUUUAAAGGUUCUUCAAUAUAUAAUCUUUAAUAUUUUCAAUCUUAUUGUAGCCAUUUUUUUGAAGAUGGG